rnacentral:rRNA from 1 species
GAUGAACGCUGGCGGCGUGCCUAAUACAUGCAAGUCGAGCGAACAGAUGAGGAGCUUGCUCCUCUGACGUUAGCGGCGGACGGGUGAGUAACACGUGGAUAACCUACCUAUAAGACUGGGAUAACUUCGGGAAACCGGAGCUAAUACCGGAUAAUAUAUUGCACCGCAUGGUUCAAUAGUGAAAGACGGUUUUGCUGUCACUUAUCGAUGGAUCCGCGCCGCAUUAGCUAGUUGGUAAGGUAACGGCUUACCAAGGCAACGAUGCGUAGCCGACCUGAGAGGGUGAUCGGCCACACUGGAACUGAGACACGGUCCAGACUCCUACGGGAGGCAGCAGUAGGGAAUCUUCCGCAAUGGGCGAAAGCCUGACGGAGCAACGCCGCGUGAGUGAUGAAGGUCUUCGGAUCGUAAAACUCUGUUAUUAGGGAAGAACAAAUGUGUAAGUAACUAUGCACGUCUUGACGGUACCUAAUCAGAAAGCCACGGCUAACUACGUG